CGGCUCACUUAGGGGCGGGGCAGAGCCGCUCUGGAACUGCUCAGUCUCCACGCUGUGCGCUGCUUCUGCAAGUGGAGUCUUCUGCCCGUGGCCUGACUGCAGUCUCCAAGGCUGGAACAGAAAUCAUGCCCGUGACUCUGGGCUAUUGGGAUAUCCGUGGACUGGGCCACGCCAUCCGCCUGCUCCUGGAAUACACAGAGACAAGCUAUGAAGAGAAGAGAUACGCCAUGGGGGACGCUCCCGAUUAUGACCGAAGCCAGUGGCUGAAUGACAAAUUCAAGCUGGGCCUGGACUUCCCCAAUCUGCCCUACUUAAUUGAUGGGCCAUACAAGGUCACCCAGAGCAACGCCAUUCUGCGCUACCUUGGCCGCAAGCACAACCUAUGUGGGGAGACAGAAGAGGAGAGGGUUCGUGUGGACAUUUUGGAGAAGCAGGUUAUGGACACCCGCAUUCAGAUGGGCACACUCUGCUACAGCCCUGACUUUGAGAAACGGAAGCCAGAGUUCUUGAAGGGCCUCCCAGAUCACUUGAAGCUCUACUCCGAGUUCCUGGGGACAUCGCCAUGGUUUGCAGGGGACAAGAUCACUUUUGCAGAUUUCCUCGUCUAUGAUGUCCUUGACCAGCAUCAAAUGUUUGAGCCCAAGUGCCUGGAUGCCUUCCCGAACCUGAGGGACUUUGUGGCCCGCUUUGAGACAUGUCAAUGCAGCCAGGAGUGACAGCGCCCACUAUGGGAGUCGGGAGGGGAGUGCACAGAGAGCAGAGUGGAGGCCACAGAGCUGGGCUGACCCUCUUAGCCAUUGGAGAAUGAGGAAGUUCCCUAACCUCUGGGUACCUCAGCAUCCCUGCUGAAUGGCGAUGGGCCUGAAGAAGAUCUCUGCCUACAUGAAGACUAACCGCUUCCUCCCAAGCCCUUUGUACUUAAAACAGGCCACGUGGGGUAACAAGUAGGACCUUGCACUGCUGGUAUUGGCAACCCCUGGUUCCCUGGACACUGACUGAGCUGCAGCUAGCUUCCAGUAACUUCUCUGCAUCAGCCCCCCAUUUCUGCCUCUGUCUUUUCAUGACCUUCCCCUCUACAAGAAUCCUGUUUUUUACUCAAGCCUCACCCUUGGCAAAGUCCCUUUCUUCUCUUGUUUGCUUCUGUCAUGUUUUUUUCCCAGACAACCUCACUGUCCUUUAAGUAGCUCAGUUGAUGCCUUUACUCUACCCCACCCCCCACUGUUGCCCAAAGAUCCAUAGUGCCUGGUAUGCAGGCUCCGUCUCCAUAGCGGGAUGGCCCAGCCUUGUUUGGUCUCUAGUAAAGUAUGAGCCACACUU